CCCCUAGACGUUCUGGGCUGCACGCGUGCUACACUGAUAUUGCCAAUAUGUCAUUCUUAUCCGAAAUGGAUUGGGUAAUCAAGUAAUGAAAUUUCAUGCUUGGAAUCGGUAAUUGCAAUUUUAUCGUGAACGAGGAAUUCCUAGUAAGCACUAGUCAUCAGCUAAUGUUGAUUAUGUCCCUGCCCUUUGUACACACCGCCCGUCGCUACUACUGAUUGGGUGUUCAAGUGAGAUGCUUAGACCCUUGUUGCAUGGUUCAUUAUUGUGCUCCGAAAGGAAAAAGUUUCAAGCUUGAGUGUCUAGAGGAAGUAAAAGUCGUAACA
rnacentral:rRNA from 1 species